GAACUUAUCUGGCAGGGGAGAUACCAUGAUCAUGAAGGUGGUUUUCCCAGGGCGAGGCUUAUUCAUUGCACUCCAGAUGUGCUGACCCCUGUGAUUUCCCCAAAUGUGGGAAACUCAACUGCAUUAUUUGUGGUAGUGGGGGACUGCGAUCAUGCUUUCCCCUG
ensembl:snRNA U1 U1 spliceosomal RNA